rnacentral:rRNA from 1 species
GUGGGGAAUUUUGGACAAUGGGCGCAAGCCUGAUCCAGCCAUGCCGCGUGAGUGAUGAAGGCCCUAGGGUUGUAAAGCUCUUUCACCGGAGAAGAUAAUUACGGUAUCCGGAGAAGAAGCCCCGGCUAACUUCGUGCCAGCAGCCGCGGUAAUACGAAGGGGGCUAGCGUUGUUCGGAAUUACUGGGCGUAAAGCGCACGUAGGCGGACAUUUAAGUCAGGGGUGAAAUCCCGGGGCGCAACCCCGGAACUGCCUUUGAGACUGGGUGUCUGGAGUAUGGAAGAGGUAAGUGGAAUUCCGAGUGUAGAGGUGAAAUUCGUAGAUAUUCGGAGGAACACCAGUGGCGAAGGCGGCUUACUGGUCCAUUACUGACGCUGAGGUGCGAAAGCGUGGGGAGCAAACAGGAUUAGAAACCCUGGUAGUCC